UUGUCUACUCAUUCUGAGGAGGGUUGGAUGAAAUUAUUCUGGAAGUAUAAUAAUGAAUGUCAGUUCAGCCCUGACAUUAUGGCCCUGAAACAUCUCUUCUUUUUGUGUGUGUGUUGGGCUCCUGCUAGAGGGGAGGUGGGGAGCAGAGGCUUUGUUGGGGGUGAGAGAACAGAGAGCCCGCUGCCCCUUGGUCCGUCCCAGGGGCCUAAAAGCCAGGGUUUCCCUCUCAUUCUCCAGGGGAUGGACUGGACUGAGCAUCUUGGAGCACAGAUUGGCUUCUUUUCUCGCCCUUUUGGCUGCUCUCCGGGUCCCAUGGUCCUGAGGAUGAGGAGUCUGCGAGAGGGAUGAGGUGGCUGGGCGACGUCCACGUGGUUGCUCUUUGGGAAGAAAGCCCACCAGAGCUGUUCCCAAAUGUGUAUGGAGAUGUGAAUCCCCACAGCAGAAGGAGAUGUGCAGCUCAGACCCCCUUCGAGAAGCAACUCGCCACCCAGCUUCUCGGAGUGUGUUAGCUGAUCACGGACAGCAGGUGCUUCUCAGCCACAACCUGGUAAUUGAGCUGAGGUCACACGAUACCCAGGGGACCCCUGGCCAGGGACAGAGUAAGGCUGUGGUUCAAGGGUCCUAAGGGAGGACACCUCUAAUGGAAAAUCCUUGCUCCAGAGCUCCCCCAAUGGGCUGGCAGGGAUGAGGUCAGGUCAGCACAGCGAUGCUCCUGGUACCUAGUCCUGCUUCCACUCCUUCCCUUGCACAGGUGUUCCUUUGCCAUGAAACUUGCGCUCCUAACUCUGUCUCAGCUCCUGCUCCCCUGAGAAUGCAAUCUGCAAAACGUGGCGCAUGGAAUUAUCAGGAUUCAGGCUCAGGGCAUUGUGAGAAUGAGUGUCCAGGCAGCGUGAUCACAGCCAACAACAGCUCAACGACUGUGUGAUGUGGACCCCUCUGCUGUGGUCCUGGACACUCACCGCAGCCACCAAUGCCCCUGGUUGGGUGCUGCUGCGGAUGACAAUACUGCAUUGCCCUGGGAAAGGCUGCCCCUUGGUCCUCGUUGCUUUGGGUCACUCAGUGGAGAUCUAAGUGUCAGGUGGGAGCAUCACAUUUGCCAAGCAUCUUAGCGCAGCCCGAGGUAUCAGAGUGAAGGAAAGUGACCCUUUGCAACGGGAAGCCAGAAUGUCCAUCAAGAGUCGAAUAUGAACUCCAAAGGGAGGUACCAAAAUGUAGUGGUCAGUCAACGAACGUCAAAUACCCUCCAUGAAACUCCAGAAACUUUUCACAUUGGGAGAACAGCACAAAUGUUGCCACCUCGGAAACAGAAGGCCACACUCCCUAGUCACCAUGGAAAUGUCCCUGGGAAAGUGCCUUCUCUUAUUGGACCGGACAGCAAGACACCUCUUCUAUCAGUUUCUCUACGAGCAGUAAUUUCUUUCACAAGGUCACUUUUAAUGGACCUGAAUCAUUUUUUCUGCCCCUAUUUUAAUCCCAGGUUAUCUUCCCAGCUUUUCCACGCUAGAUGGUACUUGGUCUUCCCUAGUCUGCAGCUGAGUGUUUUUAGAUACUAAGGCACUAAUUCUUCAAUAAUACCUGUCCCAGAGUUGUUUCCUCCUGAAUCACCCUAGAGCACCCCACCGCUGCCUCCGGUCAGAAUGAUGUCACGUCUUGUCCAGCCAACAUUGCCAAAGCCUUGGACAUCCGUUCCACUUCUCUCCCUGGAAGUGAGAUGCUGCAGCCAUUGGCUGCCAGGAGAAAUCCUCGCUUCUUCCUUUCUCUGUGUCUGCUUCUAACAAUCACCAGUCCCCACAUCCAUGAUGGCGUUUGUGCCUGGGUUCUUAAAACAAGCACUCCUGCAUAUGUGCUGGCUGCAAAGAAGGAAGAGGGAACAGGCAUCUGGACUUUCCAGCUUCCACGGGGGAUGUGGCCUCAGCCUCCCACUCCCAAGACUGACCUGGUGCGAUACUCCCUCAUUAUAGGAAGGGUAUGUGUAUGCUUAGAAGUCAAGACAUGAAAGUUGUCUAAAGCAUUCUCAUUCCCACUGUGAGCCUCCUCUUCAUUCUGUGUUCUGGUCCCAGCUUCUGGCCUGUUGUUUAACCAGCUGUUAAAAGGAAAGGGGAUUGGAUGGAGCAGGAAGGCUCCAAUAUUCUCUACACCACCUACUGCCUCAUCACACUCUGCAUAUCAUGGUGAGGAGAGAGCAAGGAUCACAGGAAAGGUGAGAACUUCUGGGGCUGCAUGAUAUUAGUGAAAUCAUCAAGAGAUGCUUGCUGAAGUUCCCAGAAUGGGCAGUGCAGCCAGAAAACAUGUGGUUCAUUGGGAACAGCUCAACUGCUACCACGCUCCUGCCAGAGAUAUAGUGUUCCCCAGCUGAGGAACUUUUUGCCGAGAUGAAGCCCUGAUGUCAUAUCUGCAGGCUUUGUGUGCACCCUGGGGUCACUGAUAAUUUUUGGACAUUCUUUGGCCACUUCUUAGGCUCUCCUUGUCCAGAGCCUCCUUGCAUGAGGAGACUCUGUUCUAGCCAGCCAUGCGCAUCUGCCCCAGGGAGUCCGGUGUGACAAGGGUCAUGCACAGACACCUGGUGCUUCUCAGCUCGUCCCAGAUGCUCUGAGCCACAACCUUCCAUUGCAUUUGGAGUUGGAAAUCCCCUUGGACAUGGUCCAGACAAACACCCUCAUCUCGAAGAUGAGAAAACUGAAGUCUAGGGGCACCAUCAAAGUUCACACGAGGGGUCAAGGACAGAGCUGGGGCCGAGAACUACCUGUCCUGAUAUAAUGGUUUUUGCUCUUUCUGUAAGAUAUUGAAUAAGGUAGGAGGAUGAGUAACCUUUCAAAGAAAGACUUUAUGAUCUUUUCGUCUGACCUGAACCAGACAUCAUGUUCAUGGCAGGAAUUCCAGGGGAACAGAAUUUCUCAAGCCAAAGUGUAGAAUCAAAGAUAACGUAGAUUUGGGGAGAAGAUGAGAAGAAGUCAGCUAUGAACUGAUGCUCCACAAUUUGCCAAGUUAGCCAUUGUCAUGAGUGUCCUGCCUCAUUUUGGUGUCCUCUCAAUGAUCUCUCUGAUCUUCUUGUGCCAAUUUACUCCUCACCAGGCAGAGACCUUUGCUUAGAGUCUUGGAGUCUUUCUCAAGCAAGGUGGGUCCUAAGAGCUCAAGCCACCCAUUUUACAAUAACUGAGACAGAGACCAAUGGUGGAUGGAACUUGCCCCAAAUCAACAGUGGGAAACCAGUCUCAUGGGGAAAAAAAUAGGAAUUGUGUUUACUUUAGUUUGCAUUUCUUUAAUUAUAGGUGCAGUUUUAUAUAUAUAUAUAGGCCACUUAUAUAUAUAUGCCACUUGCAUUACUUUUUCUGCCAUCCAUAUAUUCCUGGUCUGUGUUCAUGUUUCUAUUAGGUAAUCUGUUUUCUUUAUUGUAUUGUAAACGAUCUUUCUAUAUAUUAUGGAAUAUAUAUUCCUAUUGUAUGUAUUUACUCAUAUUUUUCCAAUUUCUAGUUAUUCU